GCCUUGUUAGCUUAGAUGGUAGCGCGUCUGCCUUGUAAGCGCUAGGCCGCGGGUUCGAUUCUCGCCCGGGGCG
rnacentral:tRNA from 1 species